rnacentral:tRNA from 1 species
UCCCUGGAGGACUAGUGGUUAGGCCACAUCGCUCUCACCGCUGCAGCCUGGGUUUGAUUCCCAGCCAGGGAA